rnacentral:rRNA from 1 species
CAACGCGAAGAACCUUACCUGGCCUUGACAUCCACGGAAUUCGGCAGAGAUGCCUUAGUGCCUUCGGGAACCGUGAGACAGGUGCUGCAUGGCUGUCGUCAGCUCGUGUUGUGAAAUGUUGGGUUAAGUCCCGCAACGAGCGCAACCCUUAUCCUUUGUUGCCAGCGCGUAAUGGCGGGAACUCAAAGGAGACUGCCGGUGACAAACCGGAGGAAGGUGGGGAUGACGUCAAGUCAUCAUGGCCCUUACGGCCAGGGCUACACACGUGCUACAAUGGCGCAUACAAAGAGAAGCGACCUCGCGAGAGCCAGCGGACCUCAUAAAGUGCGUCGUAGUCCGGAUCGGAGUCUGCAACUCGACUCCGUGAAGUCGGAAUCGCUAGUAAUCGUAGAUCAGAAUGCUACGGUGAAUACGUUCCCGGGCCUUGUACACACCGCCCGUCACACCAUGGGAGUGGGUUGCAAAAGAAGUAGGUAGCUUAACCUUCGGGAGGGCGCUUACCACUUUGUGAUUCAUGACUGGGGUGAAGUCGUAAC